GUGCCAGCCGCCGCGGUAAUACGGAAGGUCCGGGCGUUAUCCGGAUUUAUUGGGUUUAAAGGGAGCGCAGGCUGUCUGUUAAGCGUGCUGUGAAAUGCCGCGGCUCAACCGUGGAAGUGCAGCGCGAACUGGCGGACUUGAGUGAGUGCGAGGAAGGCGGAAUUCGUGGUGUAGCGGUGAAAUGCUUAGAUAUCACGAAGAACCCCGAUUGCGAAGGCAGCCUUCCAGUCCUUAACUGACGCUAAAGCUCGAAGGUGCGGGUAUCGAACAGGAUUAGAUACCCUGGUAGUCCGCACGGUAAACGAUGGAUGCCCGCUGUCGGCGAUAUACUGUCGGCGGCCAAGCGAAAGCGUUAAGCAUCCCACCUGGGGAGUACGCCGGCAACGGUGAAACUCAAAGGAAUUGACGGGGGCCCGCACAAGCGGAGGAACAUGUGGUUUAAUUCGAUGAUACGCGAGGAACCUUACCCGGGCUUGAACUGCAGAGGAAAGAUCCAGAGAUGGUGAUGCCCUUCGGGGCCUCUGUGGAGGUGCUGCAUGGUUGUCGUCAGCUCGUGCCGUGAGGUGUCGGCUUAAGUGCCAUAACGAGCGCAACCCCUCUCUUCAGUUGCCAGCAUGUAAUGGUGGGCACUCUGGAGACACUGCCUCCGUAAGGUGUGAGGAAGGUGGGGAUGACGUCAAAUCAGCACGGCCCUUACGUCCGGGGCUACACACGUGUUACAAUGGGUGGUACAGAGCGUCGGCCGCCGGCAACGUCGGUCCAAUCGUGAAAGCCAUCCUCAGUUCGGAUUGGGGUCUGCAACCCGACCCCAUGAAGCUGGAUUCGCUAGUAAUCGCGCAUCAGCCAUGGCGCGGUGAAUACGUUCCCGGGCCUUGUACACACCGCCCGU
rnacentral:rRNA from 1 species